CCUACGGGUGGCAGCAGUGAGGAAUAUUGGUCAAUGGGAGAGAUCCUGAACCAGCCAAGCCGCGUGAGGGAAGACGGCCCUAUGGGUUGUAAACCUCUUUUGCCGGGGAACAAAACCCGGGACGUGUCCCGGACUGCGUGUAUCCGAAGAAAAAGCAUCGGCUAACUCCGGGCCAGCAGCCGCGGUAAUCCGGAGGAUGCGAGCGUUAUCCGGAUUUAUUGGGUUUAAAGGGUGCGUAGGCGGUCCGUUAAGUCAGCGGUAAAAUUGCGCGGCUCAACCGCGUCGAGCCGUUGAAACUGGGGAACUUGAGUUGGCGAGAGGUACGCGGAAUGCGCGGUGUAGCGGUGAAAUGCAUAGAUAUCACGCAGAACACCGAUUGCGAAGGCAGCGUACCGGCGCCAGACUGACGCUGAGGCACGAAAGCGUGGGGAUCGAACAGGAUUAGAUACCCUAGUAGUC
rnacentral:rRNA from 1 species